UACGUAGGUGGCAAGCGUUGUCCGGAUUUACUGGGCGUAAAGAGCGCGCAGGCGGUCGUUCAAGUCGCGUGUGAAAGCCCCCGGCUCAACUGGGGAGGGUCACGCGAUACUGAUCGACUCGAAGGCAGGAGAGGGUAGUGGAAUUCCCGGUGUAGUGGUGAAAUGCGUAGAUAAUCGGGGAGGAACACCAGUGGCGAAGGCGACUACCUGGCCUGUUUCUUGACGCUGAGGCGCGAA
rnacentral:rRNA from 1 species